UCGAAACACAUAUGAAUGUUGUAGAUCUUUUUAUUUUGUUUUUAAUUGUUUGAUUGUUUGUUUUGUUUUGUAUGUAUUUUUUCCUUCUUGCGGAAAUAGAAGUACAUUCUCCCAUUUCCGGUUUGAUACCACGUGAAGAAUCAUUUGAGCCACGAGGUUGGUCAGAAGACGUUCUGGUCUCAAUUCGGAGCGGUGGUGAGCACAUGUUUGGGACAAUGUGACUUGUUUUAAUAAGAAAAAUUAUCAAUCAUACAAGAACAAUGAAGAAGAUGCUAUGCCAGUUAAAACAGAAAUGGAUUCACUGAAUAUGAAAGAGAAGAAUUGACAUAACAGAAAAGAUGGAAGAGCAUUAUCCUUAGUAUAUUUAGUUGGAGGAAGAAAGAAUGGACUAAAGAAUUGGUACGAAUUGGCAGAAGAUGGUGGUACAACUUCUUAUGGUCUUUUUAAAUUUUAGGUCUAGAAACCCCUGCAUUUGUAUAAUGUAAAACAUGGGUGCUCUUUCGCAAAAUUUUGACUUUUGUUGAUCACAAAUUAUUCUGAAAUGUUAAAUAUUUGUGCAAUUAGUCUCUAGGAUCUGAUAACCAUUACAAUAUAUUCUGCAGAGAACAAAUGAUGAUUAAACAUUCUGCCAAAUGAAUAAUAUGAUUAUAAUCCAAGCCCGUAUCUUCUAACUGAUGUUCUCUGUUAUUGAAUAGAUUGAUAUUUGCUUGAAAGAUUCUUGUAGAUUUCUCACUACCAUUGACUGCAAAUAGAACAAAGAUCUGUGAACUAUGAAACUGUUGCUGUCUAAUCAAUAAAUUCCCUUUUGAAAAGUAUUAUUUGUGUGGAGCAUUUCCUUAAAAAGUAAAUUUUUGGUAGAUGGAUUUUGUUCAUUUGUCACAGUUCAGCAAUCUUAAUAAUAUGCUCACAAAGUUUAUGAAUUAACAUUAAUUUUAUUGAAAAACUCUGAUAUAGUUCACUACUUGUAUUUUGAGAGAAAAACCAAAAAAUGUGAACUGAAUAAAGGUUAACAAGUAAACUGACCCCUGGAUCCCAUUAUAUAUAUUUGACAUAGAACAAAUGUUGAUUAACAUUCUGCCAAAUGAACUAAAGUGAUUAUAAUCCAAGCCCGUAUAUUUUAUCUGAUGUUCUAUACAAUUUAUCAUUUGAUGUGUUAAUGCUAAAUAGACUCCAAAUCAUAAAUCCUUGCAAGUUUUAACUGACAUCAAGUAAAGUGAUGGAAUUUCUGUUGAAUGUGUAAUUAAAUCUUUUUUUUUAAGUAGAACGUACACAAGCCUUGGCUUAUACAAAAUUAAAAAAUUGUGAUAAAAUUUCAACAUAUCGAGUUGAUGGAACAAAACAUUUUGAUAUCAUUUUUGCGGUGAUGAAGAAUUUUCCAUUCAUUCGCGGUUUCCACCAGAGAGUUCUUGAACUCGAAGAUGGCUUUUGACCUUCCUUGGAUGUCUGAGUAAAAUUGAUACAGAAAAAAAGUCCAUCAACAAUGUCUUAAAAUUGUGAUAGCUUAUAGCAGCAUUUCAUGAGAUCAGCUGACAAGAGUGCCAACAUUUAAAAUGUUUUCUUUUUAGCUAAAAUAAGAUUGCCAACACAAUUAUCUACAAUUUAUCAUAUUUUUGAUAAAUAAAAAAACAAGUUUGAGAUUUGCUGUGCUAUUUACCAAAGUCAACUAAUUGUCUGAUUUAUUUCAGAUUUGUUGCUCAUCAACUUCCUAAAUAUACCUUUUAUAUAAUGGCAAUGUGUGAAAUUUUUAUAGCAUUUUAGCGAAAAACUAAAAUAAACAAUUUAAAAGAAACAAAUGGUUAGCAAGCAGGGUUGGUAAACUAUGAUGCAUACAGGUUUAUUAAAUUUGAAAUCUAGAUUUUCUUGUCCAAAAAGUUAGCUGAGUGGAAUCCUUUGAUUGUACUUUUAGAAUGAAUACAUUUUUGAGUUAAAUUUGAAGUCCGUUUAAUUGAUAGAAAUGAUUACAACAGGGUACAAGGCUGGCAAGACUAGAUUUUGAUAUCAAUUUUGCGAUGAUGAAGAAUUUUCCAUUCAUUCGCGGUUUCCACCAGAGAGUUCUUGAACUCGAAGAUGGCUAUUGACCUUCCUUGGAUGUCUGAGUAAAAUUGAUACAAAUAAGAUGUCUUAAUAAUGUCUUUUGCCUACAUGUAUAUAUGCUGUAAACAUGGGCGGGUUGGUAGGAAAAUUGCAAGUUUAAUUUGAAUUGAGAAUACUUGUUCAUAAAUGUCUUGUGAUAUAAUUUUUUGUAAUGAUGGGCAAGGUUAAGCUAAAUAUUAUAACACAUAUUUAUUAUUAACUGUUCAUACCUAUAGCUAGCAUAUGUUUAUUUGUUGCAAAUCUUCUGAACAAACAAUAUUGUUUGAGUGUUGGAAUCUGGCAAAUUUGGGAGAGCCGAGGGUUAGCAGUGGAAAAUUUCAAAAUAUUUUUUUAGCCAGUGUUUUAAAAGUAAUUUGAGUUUACAAAGUAUGCUAUAUGUUGGAUAUAAAUUACAUAUGAAGUUUCUUCUAUGCAGCCUUUUACAAGAUUGACUGAAAUUUAAUUAACCUUUCUUUGAAUGAUGAUCAGCUUGAACUCUCUCACUGAAGUUGAUGAAGAAAUAGCUGCGGAUAGCUGACAAAGAAAAAGUUUUAAUUUGAAUUGAUUAUAGUUUGUUUGCAAUUAGUCCAGUGUGAGAGGUGGUUAAAUCUGGUAAAACAACUAUUUCUGACCUUAUCCAAAAUACCCUCAAAUUGCAGGGUGGUCUAAAUUUCCCAAACAUUUAUAUCAUCAUGAACAGUCUCCUUUACAUGAUCUGUCCAUUGUAUUAUUCAUUUGUUUUCAUCCAGAACAUGCAUGAAAUAUUUGCCUCUGGAUUCUGAACAUCCCAACUAAGUAAGAUAACCUUCCAAGGCUGUAUUUUGACUAGUUAGAUUCUACUUCAUUUGAUCAUGGAUUUUAGUCGCAUUGACAAUUCACAUCUUAAGUUUUAAAUUGGAAUCCUUUGAAUGAUGAUCAGCUUGAACUCUCUCACUGAAGUUGAUGAAGAAAUAGCUGCGGAUAGCUGACAAAGGAAACCCUCAUUUUUCUUCCUCUUGAAAAGUAAGGCCAAAAAAAUUAUGUCUGUUUAGGUAACCCGACCUGCUCCAAUUUGAGUGCCGACCCUAAGCCAUUUUAAUUCUGUCGUAAAGUGAAAAAUUAAUAGAACUUGUGUCAAUAUCAAAGUAAGGGUUGCCAAUAAAUUUAAUCAAUUGCCUGAUACAUCCCAAUGUUCAUAAUCACGAUAUGAAAGCUGUUUAAAGGAAACUUGUAACUCUUGUAAUGGAAAU